rnacentral:rRNA from 1 species
CCUACGGGUGGCAGCAGUGAGGAAUAUUGGUCAAUGGAGGCGACUCUGAACCAGCCAAGUAGCGUGCAGGAUGACGGCCCUAUGGGUUGUAAACUUCUUUUGUCCGGGGAUAAACUGAGUCACGUGUGGCUUAUUGCAUGUACCGCAUGAAAAAGGACCGACUAAUUCCGUGCCAGCAGCCGCGGUAAUACGGAGGGUCCGGGCGUUAUCCGGAUUUAUUGGGUUUAAAGGGUGCGCAGGCGGUCCCUUAAGCGCGUUGUGAAAUGCCGCGGCUCAACCGUGGCACUGCCGGGCAAACUGGGGGGCUUGAGUGCGCGGGAGGUACGCGGAAUGCGUGGUGUAGCGGUGAAAUGCAUAGAUAUCACGAAGAACUCCGAUUGCGAAGGCAGCGUACCGUAG